GAUUUAGGAUACCCCCCGGGUUAGUCCCACCGCCGUAAAACCGGUGGGAUACUUAGGGUGUUGGGUGGGCUAUUCGUCCAUCCAGUGCCCGUAGGCUAACCGCCGUUAAGUAUCCCCGCCCUGGGGACUACGGCCGCCAAGGGCUAAAACUCCAAAGGAAUUGACGGGGGCCCGCACAAGCAGCGGAGGCGUGUGGUUUAAUUCGAGGCAACAGCGAAGAACCUUACCCUGGGUUUGACAUGCACGUAGUAGUGAAGCGAAAGCGGAUCCGAUCCCUUCGGGAAGCGUGCACAGGUGCUGCCAUGGCUGUCAUCAGCUCGUGCCGUGAGGUGUUCGGUUAAGUCCGGUAACGAGCGCAACCCUCGCUGUUAGUCCACAUGUGUCUAACGGGACUGCCGGUUUAAUGCCGGAGGAAGGUGGGGAUGACGUCAAGUCAGCAUGGCCUUUAUAUCCAGGGCUACACAC
rnacentral:rRNA from 1 species